rnacentral:rRNA from 1 species
UACGGAGGGUGCAAGCGUUAUCCGGAUUCACUGGGUUUAAAGGGUGCGUAGGCGGGUUGGUAAGUCCGUGGUGAAAUCUCCGAGCUUAACUCGGAAACUGCCGUGGAUACUAUCAAUCUUGAAUAUCGUGGAGGUAAGCGGAAUAUGUCAUGUAGCGGUGAAAUGCUUAGAUAUGACAUAGAACACCAAUUGCGAAGGCAGCUUACUUCACGAUCAUUGACACUGAGGCACGAAAGCGUGGGGAGCAAACAGG